rnacentral:tRNA from 1 species
AAAGAUGUAACUCAGUGAUAGAGCCCUUUCCUCACAUGCAUGAGGCCCUGGGUUUGAUUCCCAGCACUUUGA